rnacentral:lncRNA from 1 species
AGUCUGUUUAGCUUUCCUUGGCUCCACGCCACCGAGAAGCAUCUCGGAAAGCGGCAUGGAGCAGCGCCUCGCAGAGGGUUCUGGAUCCUAGUCAAUGGUUCCAAGAUGGGGGUCAGGACAGGGUCAAGAAGUGAGGCCGCUUGGUGCCGGACAUCUUAAACACUUUUACCUCGAGGAAGGGAGAGGAGUGGAGAGGUACGGUCCUCGUUGGUAAAGAGGCCGCUGUCACUCAUGUUGGAAAGGGCGGGUUCGGUCCUUCCCGAGGCCUCGGAGUCGGUCUCUGCCUUGUUCCCAGGGUCAUGGCUGUGUGGUCCUGCCAGGUCUCCGUCCCAUCAGCAUCGUUUGUGUUGACUUGGGCAGUUCAUGGCAGAGCCACCUGUUGUCAGGAAGGCCAUAUUUCUUUCUCAGAUCCCCUCAGGGUCUAGAAACAAACAGCACCGACUAUAUUUCACCAAUGGUCAUAUUUCAGAAGGACUUGUCAUUCAGUGUGGGAGGUUUGUGCCUGGUAUGGGAGAUGUUGUGGUCGAGGCAGGAGGAGCCCCUGAAGUCUCACGUGGAGAUGAUGCAGAAGUGCUCAGAGGGACAACAAUGAGAUCAGGGAGGGGAGGACCAGGCUGCGGGGG